rnacentral:tRNA from 1 species
GCCUGUAUGGCUCAGUGGUUGAGCAUCAACCCAUGAACCAAGUGGUCCCAGGUUCAGUUCCUGGUCAGGGCA